UGCCAAAAUCCAACCCUAAAACCCACAUCUAAAAACACUAAAAACUUAAACUAACUAAAAACACCUCUGCAACACGAAGUUCUCCAGGGAAAGCACAGAGCACAACCUCCUCCCCUGCAGCUGCAUUAGGAAAAAUCCACCCAUCGCCUGCCCAUGGUGAUCUCAAGCCCUAAAUUUAAACUAGGAAAUCAGCUGUCAUUGGGAAAGUAACCUGGGUAUUUUCAGCCACGGAAGAGGAGGAUUCCUGGCAUAGCCUGGGGCUGCUCCGUGGCAAUCACAGCCCUCAGUUACCUUUUGUGGGAAUAAACCCCGGGGAUGGCCCCGGGCAGGUUCAGCUGGUGUGAGGUGUGAUGGGUGCAGGUGCAGCCCACGCCCAGGCCAGCUUCACAUCCCCUGACACAGCCAAGCCCUGGAAAGUCUUUGCAAAGCCCAAAUGUACCUAAACAGUGGUUAUUGGCCCCAGAAAGAGUUAGUCCCUAAGCACUGCUAUCAAAGAGUUGGCUGAGUCCAUAAAUGCAGGCAGGGAAACGGGCUGAUUAGCCCUCAGCUGGUCGAAAAUGUGCUUCUCAUGGCUGUUGUCCUGCUGCGCUGUGGAAGUCCCUCAGGAUUCUCCAGGGCUGGGAAGGAGGACUGGCACUGCCCAUCCCACACUCCCACCCCUGCAGAGGAGAGAGGAGAAGCUGAAGGCAUUAAGCAGACAUUUGCAUCUAUAUUCUGCAAGUAGCAGAUGCAAAGGAAGAGAUUCAUUUCCCCUAACAUAAGCCAUCUAAAAAUUAAAUGCUGAUAGUCAUCUUGGAUUCUUUUUAAACCUAGAUUAAAAUAGCUGCUAUGUGCAGGUCUGCCCUGCUCUCUCCCCAGAGAUUACAGAAAGCACUCAAGUGCCAAACUUAAAUAGGGGGCUGAAAUUAAACCAGAGGUAUCCCACCCUCAGCACAACUCCUGAAUGCAUGGCCUUGUAUCCAAAGCACACUGGAAUCCCUGGAAAAAUCACGGCUGUAAUCCUGGAAGGGUGCUUCAGUCCUCUGCUGCCGCUGAGGGAUUCGGGGAGGUCAGGCUGACCUGAGCUGGUCAGAGCGACCUGCCCUGCCGGCUGCCAGCACCCCAGCAUCCAGCACCCUUCAGGACAGCACAGCAAGGUCCAUUUGCCUGGGCUCAAAUGGAGAGGCAGAAGUGGAAGCAAAGAAGGUGCUUGUGCUCCUGAUGACUGGGAUUGAUCCCUGCUGAGAUCAGUUGCUUGGGAUACUUUUACUGUCAGAUAUCCUGAGCCCUACCAGAGCAGCAUCACUCUGAAAGCAUUGGAAUGAGCAUCUCUGGGGUGCAAAGACAGGAAGUACAGUAAAAUCCUCAAAAAAGGGUCUAACAGGGUGAAGAAAAAGAAAAUACAAGGAAUUUAAAUGUGUCUGUGGCCUCUGUUUUUCACUGCUCUUCGC
rnacentral:lncRNA from 1 species